UACGUAGGGACCAAGCGUUGUUCGGAUUUACUGGGCGUAAAGGGCGCGUAGGCGGCCUGAUAAGUAGGGGGUGAAAUCCUGCGGCUCAACCGCAGGGCUGCCUUCUAAACUGUCAGGCUGGAGCACGGUAGAGGCAGAUGGAAUUCCCGGUGUAGCGGUGGAAUGCGUAGAGAUCGGGAAGAACACCAGUGGCGAAGGCGGUCUGCUGGGCCGUUGCUGACGCUGAGGCGCGACAGCGUGGGGAGCAAACAGG
rnacentral:rRNA from 1 species